GACACAGCAUUUCGUUGUUUUAGGUGUUCCUUAAUUUAACUCACCACCGCUGCAACCAUCAUCACUCACUGAUUCACCAAAGAUUGGGUGGAAUUCUUAUUGAACCUCAAAAAUCAGUAGGCCAGGCUCACACUGCCAGGGAAACAGAGAACCAGAGACUUCAGUUUUCAUUCUGGAGACAUCUCCACCUGAAAAAAUCUGAAGAGUUUCAUGUACAGGACUGAAGAGACAGACAUCUACAAAUAAAGACAUGAGUUCAUUAAAGGUGGCCUAAGAAAUAUGAAGAAGUGGAAUUCUACCUUGAAAAUAAGAGGAUUUUACCCUGAUCCAUAGAAAAAAAAGGGAGUGUUUCAAAUGAACCUACUCUUUGUUUAAGAAGAUUGUAAUUAGCUAUGAGCUAAAGCACCAGCAGAUAAAUGAUCCUGGAAAAGUGUGCUAAAAGUCAACGGAAUUCAAUCCUCU